UGGGGAAUUUUGAACAAUGGGGGCAACCCUGAUCCAGCAAUGCCGCGUGUGUGAAGAAGGCCUUCGGGUUGUAAAGCACUUUUGUCCGGGAAGAAAUCGCACCUGAUAAUACCGGGUGUGGAUGACGGUACCGGAAGAAUAAGGACCGGCUAACUACGUGCCAGCAGCCGCGGUAAUACGUAGGGUCCAAGCGUUAAUCGGAAUUACUGGGCGUAAAGCGUGCGCAGGCGGUUGUGCAAGACCGAUGUGAAAUCCCCGGGCUUAACCUGGGAAUUGCAUUGGUGACUGCACGGCUAGAGUGUGUCAGAGGGGGGUAGAAUUCCACGUGUAGCAGUGAAAUGCGUAGAGAUGUGGAGGAAUACCGAUGGCGAAGGCAGCCCCCUGGGAUAACACUGACGCUCAUGCACGAAAGCGUGGGGAGCAAACAGG
rnacentral:rRNA from 1 species